ACAAUUUUAGAAUUUGCACCUGAAACAUCUUGCACACUAAAUGAAGAACGAGUUCGUGUGUUCGAAACAUACGGUUAUUCUAGGAUCUUAAAAAUAACCUCUAAAUCAUGAUGAUCUGGAUAUUGAUCUAGAUAACUCUUUGACUUAAAAUCUAGGACACAAUAUAUCCUCCUCACUACACAAAACCACCAAAAUAAGUGAGAAACUACCACUGUUAACAAAAAC
ensembl:ncRNA W05E10.20 ncRNA